GGCAAUCAGCUGGGGUCCACCUCCACGUGUGGGAGCUUUGUUCUUUUGCUCUUCACAGUGAAGCUUGCUGCUGCUCUCCCUUUGGGUCCACAUUACCUUUAUGAGCUGUAACACUCACUGUCAAGGUCUGCAGCUUCACUCUUGAAGUCAGCGAGACCAUGAACCCCCUGGAAGGAAGAAACUCCAGACACAUCCGAACACCUGAAGGAACAAAUUCCGGACACACCAUAUUUAAGAACUGUAACACUCAUCGAGAGGGUCCGCGGCUUCAUUCUUGAAGUCAGCGAGACAAAGAACCCACUGGAAGGAACCAAUUUUGGACACAAAAGGAUAUCAGGAAAAGUGCAGAGUGUGGUACAAAAUGCAGGAGGAAAGGUGAACCGAGGAAGAAGAUCAUUGAGACAUUGACAGUGACACUGUCAGGGAAACCAAGAGCCAAGGAACCCACGACUAUUGAGGUCAAACAUAAAACAACAGUAGGAUCAGGAGUGCACAGUCACCAGGAGAGAUUCUGGAGAUAGGGGAAAAGUUUAGAAACAAAAUCCAUGAUUCAACUUAUAGCUAUGAAGGAGGCUAUUCUGCACCUGAGGUAUGUUCCAGGUUGAAUGGCUCUCCUUCAAGUGGACUCCUUUUAUCCUGUGGCUCCAUCUUCUUUGGGGAAAUCUCCCAGUGCCAAUCUCUGAAAAGCUGUAAGACUCUGAAACAGAUCUCCCCAGAAAUCCCACCUGGAAGGACAGUAAGUAGACCUUUGACCUUUAAGAAGUAUAUGCCCUAAGAUUUCUACAGAUCCUGAAAUUCAUCACUACGGCAGAAUCACGCAUCUUAUGCCCUUUGAAAAUGCCAUCCAUCCUCUUCUGACCUAUAAUGUUUCUGCUGGAAAGUCUGCCGUUAGUCUGAUGGAAUUUCCUUUAAAGCGUUAAGAAGACGUUUUGAUCACAAUGUCUUCUGUCAAGAAAAGCCAAGGGCUUCUUCCAUGGAUUUUCACCGAAGUCUCAUGUAAACAGAAGUGGUCUUGGGAGGAGGGAAACAAACAAACAAACAAAUAAAACCCAGAAAAGAAGAAAUCAACUUCAGAAAUGUCUUUCAGACAUUUACCAAUAAAUAUUUACUGAAAACCUAUUGUGCGGCAAGCCUGGUACUGGCUUCAUAUGACAAAGUAUUAAACUAAACAGAUACUCAUAGAGCUAACAGCCUAAUACUUGAAAAAGAUAUUUUUUAAAUGACUCCACACGUAAAUAUAUAAUUACCACCAUGAUGCUUCCAUGAAGAAAAACUGCAACAUUCUGUGAUGAUGAAAUUUUCAAUAAAAAUUGCAAGAAUAUGACAAAACCCUUAGGAGACAGUAAAAAGGCCACUUGAAGCAUUCUUUGACAGACUUUUACAAACACAAGCAAGGUCAUGUUUCCAGGGUUUUUCAAUUUCUAAAAAAUUGGUAAUUAAAAACAGAAAACAUCUAGGGUAAUUUAAAAAGAAUGUUAAAGAUGUAAUUUAUGAUUUAAAUUUCUAAAAUUUCUAAGAAAUGAGAAAAAUCUGUCAUUCAUAUGUCAGCUUUUAUACCAAGAAAUGAUAUGUCUAAUGUUGACUACUACAGAAGAGUCUGAUAUGCAGAAACAGAGCCAUGGAUUGUCUCGAACUUGAUGAUACAAUGAGGAUUCAGACAAGAACUGGAGCAAAUACAUCUCAAAUCCAGUACAGGGUUACACUAAUUUCUUGGAGAGAAGGAAAUUAUCAUCAAAAUAACAUGAUAGGGAUAUGUUUAUAUUUUAUGUCAUAGUUUGACAUUUCAUGUACAUUUAUAAAUACAUGUAUGCUACAUAUAUUACAUAUUAAACAUACUGCUUAGCCUAAGUCUAUAAUAUGCUGUAUUGUUAUAAGAUAGGCUAUGUUACUGUAACAAACAAUUCCGGAGUCUAACUCGUUGAAAACACACUUAUGCAACGUGUUUAUUUUGGUUCAGGGAGCCUUAGUUCCAUGUUGUCCUCACUUAAGAACUCACAAUGAUGGAGGCUCCACAGGCUGAAAUUUUUCUGAUGGCCGUGGUAGUGGGAAGGCUGAUGACAAAUCCCUCACUGUUUCGCAAAUAUUUCCAUUUAGAUGUUCACAGCAUUUCAUUUGCUAGAGCAAUUUAUGUUCACUCAAAUUUCAUUGAUUAAAACAAGUGAUAUGACCAUUACUGGACUAAUCCUUCCCUUUGCCCAAAAAUAGAGGCACCAGCUCUUUUUUUUUCUACUUCAUAAAACACAUAUGGAAUAUUUAAUAUACAUAACAUCAUAUACAACAUGAGCAUAUUCUAUUUUAUCAUCUGUUUCAUGUUAUUAGAUAUUAAUACCUGCACUAGGUUCACCUGAGAUCUAUGAUUAAGCUAUUGAUGCUUAAAUCAGUCAAAUACCAUAAAGAGCCUUUGCCUUCCACCUGUUUCAUAAGUGGUAUCUAAACAGGUGAACAUUGCUCACUUCUAUGUGAACACAUAAGGCCUUAUGCCUACUAAGUAGAAAUGGAAAUAUUGAAGACAUUUUUGAAAGAGUGGAAUGGUUCCCAAAAACUCCAUUCAUGCCAGUCACUGGGACGUGACAUAUUGUGAGUUUGCAAGAUGGAGUUACUGAUUGAGAGUCUGCCAUUACAGAAAUCUACAAGAGCAGAAUUGGAUGUGAGGUUAAGCCAAACCAAUGAAGUCUGAUUAACAUUAACUCAAUCUGUGUUCAUUAAAAAUGGUGGUUUCCCUAAAAAUAGUAUGUUAUGAAGGUAUUAAUCAAUGGUCAGUCAGAAACAAAUAUUUUCUCAAUGUGUUUUACAAAGAAUAAAGCAUUUUAGCUUUCAUUUGCAAGGAGUUAAAAAUUCUUUUCAUAGAGGACUUCUUUCAUGUAUACAAAGUAUUUUUGCUUAUAAAUCUGUAUUUUAAAGAUUACAUAUUGUGCCCAAUAGCUCUUGCCCCCUUCUUCUUCAAAGCACACAUAAACAAUACUGGUCCUAGGAAAUGACAAAAGGCAUCAUUUUAAUACUACAGCAUAAAUAUUGAAACAAUAGCUAGCUAAAUGAGCACUUCAAAGAGAGUCUGAAAAUUCAUAUUUUUAUAUAGUAAUGUGUUUUUCUGUCAUUGCAAGAUAUAACCCAUGAAUACAUUUUUAUUGUUCUCUAUUCCUUGUCCUCCCUCUGUUUCCAGAGCUAUUUGUAAAGCAACUAGUAUCUUAUAGCACAGAAGAAACCACAGUGUAGGAGCGUUCAUUGUUACCUAAUUAGAGUUAGGCAUCUUUUCACUGUAUUUCCCUAACCAGCUAAAAAAGUUACCUGCCUGUCUGAUCUUAUGACUCAUAAAAUCCCUUUCAUACACAUUAAAAUUUUUAUUGUGGUAAAACACACAUAACAUAAAAUUUACCAUCUUAACCAUUUUAAAGGAUAAAUUCAGAGACAUCAAAAAAUUUACAAUGUUGUGAAACCAUCAUUCCUAUUCGUUUCAUAUUUUUUUAUUGUGAAAGGAAGCCCCAUAUCCAUGAAGCAGUCACUCCCAUGCCUCCUACCCCCAGUCCCUGGCAACCACUGAUCUUUCUGUCUCCAUCAAUUUGCCUAUUCUGGAUAUUUCACAUAAAUGGAAUGAUAUAAUAUGUGGCCUCUUGUGUCUGGCUUCUUUCAGUUACCAUACUGUUUUCAAGGUUUUUCAAUGUAGAUAUAUCAGAAACUCAUUCUUUUUAUGGCUGAAUAGUAUAUCAAAUUUUGUUUAUCCAUUCAUUGCUAAUGGACUUUUGGGUUGUUUCCACUUUUGGUAAUUAUAAAUAGUGCUGCUGUGAACAUUUAUGUAAAACUUGUUUGAACACCUGUAUUUAAUGAUUUGGGGUAUAACCUAGGAGUGAGACCGUUUAAUCAUAAGGUAAUUCUGUUUAACUUUUUGAGGAACUACCAAACUGUUUUUCACAGCACAUGCACAAUUUUAUAUUCCACCAACAAUAUUUGAGGAUUUCAGUUUCUCCACAUCCUAACCAACACUCAUUUUUCUUUUUUUUUUUAGUCUAGUCAUCCCAGCAAGAGUGAAGUGGCCUCUCCUGUGGUUUUGAUUUGCAUUUCUCUAAUGACUAUGUUGAACAUCUUUUCAUGUCCUUGUUAGCCAUUUGUAUAUCUUCUUUGGAGAAAUGUCUGUUAAAGUAUUCUGCUCAUUUUUUCCCUUCAGUUGUUUGUCUUUUUGUUAUUGAGUUGUCAGAGUUCUUUAUAUAAUCUGGAUAGUAGACAUUUUUUGGAUAUAUGAUUUGAAAAUAUUUUCUGUCAUUCUAUAGGUAGUCUUUUCACUCCCUUGAUGCAUGAAAGUUUUAAUUUGAUAAAGUACAAUUGAUGUACAAAAGUUUUAAUUUGAUAAAGUACAAUUAAUUUUUUAUUUCGUUGCUUCUACUUUUUGUGUCAUAUCUAAGAAACAAUUGCUGAAUACAAGGUUAUGAAUAUUUCCCCCUAAGUUUUUUUCUAAGACUUUUAUAGUUUUAGCUUUUAUAUUUAUGUCUCGUAUCCAUUUUGAGGUAAGGGCUCAACUUUAUUUUUUUGCGUAUGGAUACCCCGUUGUCUCAGCAUCAUUUGUGGAAGACACUAUUCUUUCGCCAUUGAAUGCUUUUGGAACACUGGUCAAAAGUUAAACAUGAAUUGGCCAAAGAUAAAUGGGCUGAUUUCUAGAUUCUCAAUUCUAUUCUAUUGAUCUAUAUGUCUAGCCUUAUAUCAUUAUCACACUUUUGAUUGCUAAAGGCUUUGUUGUAAGUUUUGAAAAAGCAAAGUGGGAGUUCACCAACUCUGUUCAAGAUGAUUUUGGUUUUGGGGGGGUUUCUUAAAAUUCCAUAAAAAUUUUAAGACCAGCUUUUCUAUACCUGCAGAAAAGCCCAUUGAAAUUUUGAUAGUUAUUGCAUUAAAUCUAUAGAUUGAUUCAAGUAUUGUCCUCUUAAAAAUACUAAGUCUUUCAAUCUAUCAACAUAAAAUGCUUUUUCCAUCACUUUCAUUUUUGUUACAUCAAAGAAGUUUAUUUUCAAAAUAUUUCAAGAACUGAUAGUAUUAUUUCUUACACAGGACAAUGUUAGAUAUUUUGUUUUUUUAUAUUUUAUUAGCAUGUAAGUAUAUAAUAAAUACAUAAAACAUAAUAAAAUUUCUACCGAGAC